UUUUUUUUUGCAGUAAUAUUCGUUUACAGAUUGAUUUGAGCAUUAUAGUCGCUCUUUUUUUUUUCGGUUUGUAGUAGAUUUUGGUUGAGUGAAAGAUGGUUUCUCCCUCCUUGUUCUGUGGUUACAAUGGAGUUUGAUUUUUCAUUUUGAAUUAUUUUCCUAUAUGAUUGUGAAUUAAGAAGCCGAUGAAGAUGCCAGUGAAUACACAUCGAUGUUUUGUGUCUUCGUGCAGGAACAGUAUUACUGUUAAUCCUGAUGUGACAACAUUCAGAUUUCCAUGAAGCCGAAGCAAGUUAUUGAAGUGGAUUGCUGCAAUUGGCUAUGACCUUGAUGCCAGUAAUGCUGAAACAUUUAAAACUAAAUAUGUGUGUUCCGAACAUUUUGAUAUUGGAGCUUUCACUACAUGUGACUGCAUCAAAUUGAAUCGUGGUGCUGCUACAACAUAUUUUAAUUCUGUGGACAGUGAAGUAUGGAUCUAUUGUUAUAAUUUAUUAUGUCUAGAAUGCUGCCAAAUAUAGGUGAAAUGUUUGUUACAUAACAUAACUUGUAAGAUCUACUUGUGCAGAUAUAUAUUUUCACCUGCCUCUAAGGUCCUUUGUUAUUCACAGGUAGCAUUUACAUGUGAUGAAGCAGUAUUUAACAUUAUUGGUCAACAUGCAGUCCAUCAUUACAACAUUUGUACAGGCGCAUACAAACAUAUAUGUAUGGGGUAUUUCACACUUUUUAUUUGAUGUUAAAGAUUGGUAUGGUGACCGGGAUACUUUUUUUUAUUAAACCUCCUAUACAGUUCUCUACUGUUUCCCUUAUCUGUUGCCUUAACAUUUUUUUCCGAUCAGUCCAAUUCCUUGAAUCACGUUGCAAAAAAAGUCACAAUACAUGGGAUUGGGCCACUCUCUUCAAAGAAUUGUAAUUCAAGUUUAAACAUAGCAAGGCUGACCAUAAAUUGUAGAGGCAAAUUUAAAAUGUUGAUCUUCAACAUAUUUAUAACCUAUGAUCAUGUGAUGUAUAUACAGCUAGUUAGAAAGUAAGUUGUAGUAUAGUAUGCAAUUGAACCUUCAAUAAGUUCUACAUCCACACUUAAAAACUUAUUUUUACUUGAUGUUUUAUGUUCAAUAACUAUUCAGUAUAAAGGUUUUUUUUUUACAUUAUAAACUACAAAAGUAUUCAGAUUUGUAAAUGUAAUGAAAUUCCACUGAGCCCUCUACCUUUUUUUUAACUACCAUUUCUGCCUUGUGGCCUUUUUUUUCUUACUUUUGUGUUCAUUAUAAGUUACAACCACUCAUUUGAUUUAUUGUGUUAAAUUAAAUGAUAUUUAAAAUUGGAUGUCACUUCAUAAGAACAUUCAGGAUUACCUGUAUUCACAGCGCACAAUUAUACAAAAGUUUUUUAUGUAUGUAAAAGUGUUUUACGUAAGACAGUGGACACAUACAUGUAUUGAGUAACAUGAGAAAAUUGAAAUAUCUAAAAUAAAAUUAAAAGGUUACAAGCUUUUAUAUACAUGCAGCUCCCAAAAAAGUCUGCAUACUAAAAAAUAACACAUGCUUUUAAAUGAAUUCUUACCAUCUUAUAAACUAGUAGUAUUUUGUUAUUUGGUUUCAAAUGAAUUGUUUUUGGUUAAUUUAUUUGACUGUAGGGAUUAAAUAUCAUUUGUAGAAUAAAGUGUGAAAAGUAGUAUUGAUCAAUUUAACUGUAAGUACAAAAUAUGUGUUACAUUUCUUGUAAGUUAAAAUUGUUCAGGUAUUAUAAAUUAGCUGGAAAAAGCAAACUCAUGACUAGAAUAAAUUGUACUGUUAGGUAUGUUUCGAAGAAAGACUACCUGUUGCAGUCGUUACCAUGUGUAUGUACCACAUUUUUAUUGUCAUGAUAACUGCCAUAAUUUUGUACAAAUAAAUCACUUAAUACAUAAAAUAUGGUUAUGGAAAUUCUCAGUUGAGUUUGUUAAUGGAUAUAGGCCAACAAAAGGGGUAUAAAUGGGGAAGAUUUUUUGAAAAACAUUUAAAUCACUUAAACUCCCAUAACAUGAAACAUAUCACAUCUGUUUGAACAUAUUAUAACUUAUAGGAGUAUUACCAAAAAUUUUGUCUACAUAUUUGAAUAUGACCAGCCAUAACUGUUAAGGGGUGGUAAAAAACAAGGGUUUGAGGACAAAAAACUCCUAACUAUCUUAGUAGGCACACCAUAGAAUCUGUUCAAAUUUGUUGUCAGUUUUAAAAAAUUUUAUAACCACCUGAUAACCACCAAGGGUGCUGUGGGUAAAAUAAUGAGGGGUUAAUGGACAAACAAAUAUUCUUAAUUACUCUAUUAAGUUAACUAUAAAAUCUCUGUAUGCUGACUGCAUUGCUAAAAUGCACAUAGACCUCCAAUUAAAUUAAUAAAAUAAAGUAUUCUGCAAAAUGUUGAUAGCGAAACAAUUAAAAUUGUGCCAAUCUCACCUGCGUACAUGAAAAUCUAUAUUAUGCUUCAAAUAUGCUAUUUUAUAAACCAGAAAAUGAAAUUACCUAUUUAGGACUUUCCAUUACCCUUAGCAUUCCUUUACUGCAUCUUAUUUUUUUGUUCAGUUAUAAUUAAAUUUUGGUAUCUUGUUAUACGUGGGUAAUUGUUCCUUAUCACGUACUCAAGUUUAAGCCUUGAUCCUGUAUGAUUGAUCCUGUGGUACAUGAUGCUUGCUGUCUUAAUUUAGUACAUCAAAGAUCCUGAACAUAACAAAAAUAUUACAAUAAAAAUAAUUUUAGGAAGUAAAAAAAAAAUUACUUUCAGAUUUUUAUUUGAUGUGAUAAUACCAUCAGAAUUCAUUGUUACAUCACCCCAUUUUUGUAUCCAGGAUCUUUCUAUGUACUAAAUUAAAACAGCAAGCAUCAUGUACCACAGGAUCAAUAUAUUCAGGAUCAUGCCAUUAGGAUCAAGGGAUAGGCUUGGAUACGCUAUACGGAACAUUUACCCACAUUGUGUUUAAAUAUAAAUUGUUUCAUCUUGUGGGUGAAGAGAAAGAAGGUAUCCUCAGUCCAAUUCUUUCAUCUACUCCAUAGUACAUAUGUUUCUAAGAGCUAUACAGUUGGUUUUAGAUUUAUUUAGCAGUAGUUAGCUUCAAACCAGAAAUUAUAUUAGGUCUUUACAGCAUUAUUUAUACUAUUUUCCUUCACAAAAAUUUAUGAACCAUCAGAAAAGUGUGGUGUGCUACCUUGUGUAAUGUGAGAAAGCUGGUAUACUUGAAACACGAGUGGGCCAAGGAAACUCAUUCUGAGAACUAUAUAUGAUUUUAUUUAUACACUUUAAAGUUGUGUAAGUGAGAUACAAUUACUAGGUCUUUACUUUACUUUUGAUCUUGAAAUAACAACUUUUGAAGAAAAUAUUUAUGAUUUAUGAGGUCUAAAGGUUUAGACUUAACACAAAAAUAAUUCAUGCUGAAUUUUAACUCAAAAUUUCAAGGCUUGACUAGUAAACUUUAAUAUUGUAUUUACUGUUGACUUUUUGUAAGUCACAAUGUCAUUUUUUUAAUGUAAAUUUUGAAUGCAACAAUAUACAAAAUUAUUCUUAAAAGUGAAUUAGAUAAUAGGGUCAUUCAAAUAUAAACCGGAAUAUUUUUAUACAGAUUUAUUGGUGAUAUACGAAAACUACAAGUGGAAUGCCUUUUUUUUCUACAUAGUUUCCUUAAGCAUAUAUACUUCCACCCCCCCCCCCCCCCUCCCCAUUUUUGAUCCCUUCAUGAAAAGAAGACUGGUGCUCCAGCAGCCAACUGCAAAUGUACUGUUUGACUGCAGCAUUGUCUUCAAAUCAUUACCCUCCUAAUGCCUCUUUCAGUGGACCAAACAUACAGCCUGAAUAUUGCCUUCAUUGAUGCUGGUUGCCGGAUGCAAUAUGUGGCAUCGAUUUCCCACUUUCAAAACUUAUGGCCCAAUGGAACACUUGUGCAUGCCUAGGUAUCUCCUCCCCAUUCUCCCGCCACCGAUUCCCCAGCGUACUGCACCGCUCAAGUCGCUACUUGAGUCGAAAGAACAAAAUUCUGUGGACAGUGAAGGAUGGAUGUAUUGAACUUUAAAAAUAGCCUUUUUAGUGUUGUUUCAACCUUGCCAUAUUAUGGUUUACAUAGUUGUGUGAGAUGCACUAUGUACACAAAACUUAGUUUUUUAGUUUAUUUAAAUUGUGAAAUCGUCAAAUGUUAUAUUCAUGUUCCUUUUUUUUUUUCUCUUGGGUUAUGUUUGUAACUUUGACUCUUUUUGUUUAUUCAUCCCGCCAGGUUAAAUGGGGUUUUAAUGAUUUUCCAUUUGAAAAAGAAAAAUGUAGUGCCCAAACAUGACUUGAAAGAAUUGAGUUACCACCUGAUCGUUUCUGUGAUAACUAAGGAGAAUUUUAAUUAGCAAAUCUCAUUUAGUCCAAAGUUUAAAUUUAAAAAAAAAUGAACAGUUUUUUUAACACAGGAUCACUUUCAGCACAUUGAAAUUGUAUCGAGCAUCCUGCAAAUAAGAUUAUGAAACAAAUUCAAAAGGCUAUUAUUAUUAAUAUUAUUAUUAUACGACGGAAAAUAGCCAGUUCGAUAGCUCGAAACACGUUGCUAAUCGAUUUGUAUUAUACAUAUCGAUUUAUAUCGUUAACGCACUUUCGAUCACGGUAUUUCAUUUGUAGAUUCAUAGAUGGCAGCGUAAUCGGCGAUUGUUUGUAGGUACAGAAAAACAGCGUUGAGUUUCCGGUCUUUAUGAUAUAUGGUCGUUGAUAUACAUUAUGGUUCGUGACCAAGGUUGUAUGUGUUUUUGUUGUUUCAAUUAGUUGUUAAACACACACCAAACUUAAGGAAGAGAGAAAAAAAAAAGGCUGGAAAUGAAAUAUUAGUUUAUUUUAGGUGACAUACGGAGCGUUUUGAGGCACAGGGGGCGGAGCUAGUGCCCGAACCGAACAUGCAACCAUACAAGCAGGCAGCGCGGGCGGCAGUGGUGCCGUGCAGGCCAAGAGGGAAAAGCACAGCGGCGACCGUUACCCCCACACCGCAGACAUGCCGAGGCGGCGAUCGUGCGUCCGAGCGGGGGGACGCCGUUGCCAACAUCCCAACACGCACACACAUAGUACAAGAGAUCCGCCGUCGACCGGCGUCUGGUCGGUCCUGCUCUACCGGGCGGGGAGGGAAGCGGGGGUCAAGUACAUACGUAGCCAGGGUACAAGACAUUACUGCAUGCUCGAUUACUGGAGUUCAAAACCAUCGCAACUAAACAACGCUGCCCUGAAACCGUUUCUCGUCGGUCGGUGUGAUUCCUUUGCUACCGAUCGCACGGUCGUUCCACGACCGGCCGCCUAUGGCUCUUUAUUGGUCUCACUGAUGUUAGUACCAAGUAGCCAAAGUAAAAAUAAAAUAAAUUUGUUAGGGAUAAACCAACAACAUAAAAUUAAAUAUGUUUGUAUUAGCAGUUAACACACACAUGAAAUGUUCGUUGUCAUGGCAGUUGAGAAUAACCUUAAAUAAAAUAUUGGUCAGAUGUACCUUCAUCCACAUAACUGCACUUGAAAAUUUCAUAGUGUGAUUUUCAGAGGAACUUUUAGCUGGAUUAUUUCACACAAUUAUUGCAUACUAAUUAGGGUAGAAGUACUGGUGUGAACUAGUGCGCAGGUUUGCAAUGAGCAAUGCACCUGUGUAGCAAUUCACUGUUCUCCUACCUUGAGCAUGCUAAACAAAAACAUCAUUGUAAUAAUUAGCAUACAAUAUAUGUAAGUAAAUACAUAAGUAAAUAGUGACAAUAUUCUUAGUAUUAGGUAGUUAGUAAUGUACAUUACCAAAUAAAACUAUAUCAAGAUCAAGCUAACAAUCCUAAGAAUCAACCAAAAUUAAAAUCAUAAUUGUCAUUAAGUGUUGUGUGAAAGCAGAUGAGGUUAAAUCUAAAAGACAGGCGUGUGUGUGAGAUGUUAGAAGUAUGUUAUAAAGUAUUAACUGUUAUUAAUAACUGGCACUGAAUAUACAGAUAUGGAUUCAUCUUAAAUGUAUUUCAAGACUUUUUUAUUUAAUUUGAUGAGACCACUAACCAUUUCAGCAGUUUCACUUAGAAUUUCAAUCUAAACAAAACAAUAAAUAAGUUUAAAAAUCUGACCAUCAUUAGAAAAGUAACCAAUAUUUUGAUAAAAUCGUAAACAUUGUAUUGACAGUUUUUUUGUAUAAAAAUUUAAUCAAGUUUAGUUUAUAAUGCCCUAAACGGCCGCAUGAGAAUUUAUUAUUUUAUUAAAAAAUUAUGAAUGUAUUUGAAACAUGGAAAAAGUAAUAAACAUAAUAUAAGCCUUGAUAACGGAUAAGUGUUCCUUUAUAGCUUCAGUGUAAGGUUUUUUUUACUUUAUGUUAAAUUGAAACAUUUAAAAUUUACUUCAACAGAAAUAGAAUAUUUCAAGUUGUACUUUAUAAACCAUGUCCUUGAGUCUGCCAAGUUAAGAUCAAUAACUGCAUGUGUGUAUUCAAGUUUUGAAUUAUAUUAGACAAGUCUUAAUGAAAA